GAUCAGGUGAUGAGUAAAUACUGCAACAAUAUGAUGGAGAAAUCUUCAUGAUUAUUAGUAUUUAAGUCUCUGAUGAUC
rfam:Capsella rubella cultivar Monte Gargano unplaced genomic scaffold scaffold_3, whole genome shotgun sequence.